rnacentral:rRNA from 1 species
AGCCUCGCACUCGCCAUACGUAAGAUUACAAGACUCAAAUUUUCGGGUACACAGUAAACUGCGAAUGGCUCAUUAAAACAGUUACAGUUUAUUUGAUACAUUAAAUGGAUAACUGUAGAAAAACUAGAGCUAAUACAUGCCAAAGCCUCACGGUUGUAUUUAUUAGAUAUUCCAAUUAGGUGAAUCAUAAUAACUUCGCAAAUCUCUGGUCCCACGCCGAGAUAAAUCAUCCAAGUUUCUGCCCUAUCAUGCUUUCGAUGGUAGUGUAUUGGACUACCACGGCCCCCCGCGGGAAAACAGGGAAUUAGGGUUCGAUUCUGGAGAAGGAGCCUGAGAAACGGCUACUACAUCUACGGAAGGCAGCAGGCGCGUAAAUUACCCAAUCCUGACUCAGGGAGGUGGUGACAAGAUAUAACAACGCAAUUUCAUUGUGAUUGUAGUGAGGGUAUUCCAAACCGAACCACUAGUACGAUUAGAGGGCAAGUCUGGUGCCAGCAGCCGCGGUAAUUCCAGCUCUAAUAGCGUAUAUUAAAGUUGCUGCAGUUAAAAGCUCGUAGUUGGAUUUCAGGAUUGUGUACUCUUUCGAGUAUGCACCCUACUAGUCUUUGACUUGUACUGGGAAAAAUAAAGUGUUUAAGCAGGCUAUUGCAGAAACUUACCUGGAUACCAAAGUUCCGAACUUGGGUAUCUCAGUUCUUAUAAAAACACGUGGCCUAUAUAAUUGCAGGAUCUGUUUUAUAUCAUGAAGUACCGGAACACUCUGUGGGCCCGCGCCACACACCCACGU